UUUUAAUCAAGCUGAAGCAAUAGGACAUAGACUUUUCAAAGCUCCAAGUGGGUCCAGGAGUUUGGGUGGCCAGGCUCCAUGAUUCUGCCCCCUACUGACAAACUGAAGCUGGAUACUAAGGGGCUUUCCUGGGGAGCCUUAUCCUCCCUGUGAGGAGGGUCUGUGCAAGAAUAUACAGAGCUGGUAGGAGCCUUAGGGAUUUCUCUGCCCCAAUUCCAUCACCACCCAAGUGCUAGGAGCUGCUUCUUGGUGGAGCUAAGUAAUGAUCAUUGGAAGUUUCCCAAAGCUGUGAAAGAGACUUAUCUCUUAAAUUUGAAGUCUGGAGUUUUAAUAUCUGUCCCGUGGCUGCAUCACCAUCCCCUUUGUUUCUUUUCUUGUUUUCAAAUGAGGAUUAAAGGGAAAAACAGAUGGACAGCAGUCAUGAGAUUCCUCAAAGAAAAUCGAGCUACAAUAUCAUCCAGUAAUUCUACUCCUGAGCAUCUAGGAAGGGGAUAGAAAAACACACACUUGAAAUGGUGGUUGCACUCUGAUGUGAGUGCCAUUCAUGGUAGCCCAGACAAUGGAAGCAACCAACCCCAGUGCCCAUCAACAGAUGAGUGGAUACAGAAGACGUGGAGCUCUUGUACAAGCACAUCGUGACUUUUCAAAAAACCCAAGAUAUAGAAAUACUACUCAGCUGUUGAAAAUGAUGAAGUUACCUCCUUUGCCUCAUCUUGCAUGGAACUCGAAGGAAUCAGGCUAAGUGAGAUAAAAGCCAAAAACAAGAAGGAUGAAUACUGGAUGAUCUCACUUAGAUGGAAUUUAAUGAGGACUGAAAGAGAAAACGCAAAGUGAAACUUGGACUGGAUGUGGUAUACUGUACCAAAACAAAGGA